AUUGAACGCUGGCGGAAUGCUUUACACAUGCAAGUCGAACGGCAGCACGGACUUCGGUCUGGUGGCGAGUGGCGAACGGGUGAGUAAUAUAUCGGAACGUAUCCAAUAAUGGGGGAUAACUAAUCGAAAGGUUGGCUAAUACCGCAUACGUCCUACGGGAGAAAGCUAGGGACCUUCGGGCCUGGCGUUAAUGGAGCGGCCGAUAUCUGAUUAGCUAGUUGGUGAGGUAAAGGCUCACCAAGGCGACGAUCAGUAGCUGGUCUGAGAGGACGACCAGCCACACUGGAACUAAGGCACGGUCCAGACUCCUACGGGAGGCAGCAGUGGGGAAUUUUGGACAAUGGGCGCAAGCCUGAUCCAGCCAUUCCGCGUGAGUGAAGAAGGCCUUCGGGUUGUAAAGCUCUUUCGCAAGGGAAGAAAACUUAGUUACUAAUAUUAACUGAGGUUGACGGUACCUUGAUAAGAAGCACCGGCUAACUACGUGCCAGCAGCCGCCGUAACAC
rnacentral:rRNA from 1 species